GUGAAACGCAAAUUAUUCCUUUUGCAUUUUUGUUGAUACUUCAAAUUGCAGGAUGGAAGCAGCACGAAUUGUUCUGAUCAGGGAGCAAUAACAUACCAUGACCCCCACAGCUCCCCAACAGUCCGAGGGGGGCACACAGUCUCAGCAGCUAAGGCCCCCUGGCCCCUGAGAGCCACAUGCCUCACAUUUCCCCAGUUCCAGCCUCCUUUCAAAGGCCCUUUAUUAAACCACCAACUAUUUGCUGUCGAGACAUUUAGGAUGAAAUCAUUGUGUUAAACAAAUAAACGCAGCUUCGUCCAGAUUUCUGCUCUGGGAGCAGAGUAAGAAAAUAAUUUCUGUCUGCUUGCCACAAAAGCGGCUGGAAAGGCCCAAAGAAAAAUAUUAUUUUUACUCCAUUGUGUGAAAUAUUGUCCUGGAGGAUCUGACGGGCUGAGCGUUUGAAGAGUUUGUGCUGGCAGGUUUCAAGGGUCCCCCGGGUCGGCCCCCUGGGAUUGUUUUCUGCAUUAAUAAACUUAGCAUGAUGUGUGUUAAAA